AGAAGUGUCACGGGAUGACGUACAAGGCCGUAUACGACACAAAUCACGUUGUUCUCAGGUCUGCGGACUCCAGCUGAUGGACUCGUUAGUCCUCCUGGAAACGGGAAGAUGAUACUGGUGAGUCUGAUUGUCAUGGCGACCUGAUGACGAUGGGUUGUCUUCAUGAGGACAGUACUAAGGUGCAUCUACACUGAACCACAUCCAUGGUCGAAGUCACUGAGGAUUCAUCUGAGCUCAA